rnacentral:rRNA from 1 species
UACGUAGGUGGCAAGCGUUGUCCGGAAUUAUUGGGCGUAAAGCGCGCGCAGGCGGUUCCUUAAGUCUGAUGUGAAAGCCCCCGGCUCAACCGGGGAGGGUCAUUGGAAACUGGGGAACUUGAGUGCAGGAGAGGAAAGCGGAAUUCCACGUGUAGCGUGAAAUGCGUAGAGUAUGUGGAGGAACACCAGUGGCGAAGGCGGCUUUCUGGUCUGUAACUGACGCUGAGGCGCGAAAGCGUGGGGAGCAAACAGG